CCUUGCGCCGGUUUCCGCUUCUCGUGGGUCCUGCGGCGGCGGCGGCGGCCAAGCGGCGUUCACCAGGGAGUCGGUGAGCGCGCGGACUGUCCCGAGGCCAAGCUGGGGCCGUUCCAGGGUGCUCGGUCCGGUGGUCACGGGGCCUGGAGGCCCCUGGGCCCGCGGAGGCCGCGGCCGGGCUCUGUCAGCCAGCUCGGCGUUGGACACUCGCCUUACUCGCGGCUCCUAACGGGGCGGGCCGGGGGCACAGCCCUCGUCCGCCGCCAUUGCCACUUGACGUCGUGUCACGUAGGCUCGGCGGAGUAGCAGCGCGCAUGCGCGGCCUGCCUGUCAGUAACCACGUGAUGGACCCGGAAGCCCGAGGGCAGAUGCUAAAUGAUGGCCAUUUGACAUUUGCGUGUGUUCACUAUGGAUAGUUUUACCAAGUACAUUGAUUUGGGCCCUUACAGCUUACAAAGUAAAGAUAACACUUACUCCUCCAAGAAAUUGAUUUCAGCUAAGCAAAACAUUGAUACAGGGCUAUAAUGGAAGUGUUGGACUCAUAAACGUUUUAUGAAAUCAGUGUGUGUGUAUUACAGAAAUCAGAAAUGAGAAGUAAGAACAUGUCUGGGAGAGUGUGACAUAAGAAAAAUAACUUGUAGGCGUAUUUAACAGACAGCAGCAGUUCUCAGGAUUCCCCAUGUUAGAGCCUUCCUUCCUGUCCUCUGAGAAAUGAAAAUGAAAUCCAAAGACCCCCAACUGACUACACGAACCCCCUACUGGCUAAGGAGAUCCCAGGGUUGCCUUGAAGGCAGUUCUCAGCCAUGACAGAUGGGAGGUGAGACACCUGUUAUUAAGGCCAACCCUUGGCUAACUACCAUUAGGUUUUCUUGGCUAAGAGCUUAACGGAAACCAGCGCUUUCGAAAGACUCCACCGCUGAUAACAACUCUCUCAUUUGCAGUUUCGGCCCAAUUGACCAGUAUUCCUUACUGAUAAGAGACACUGACCAUGGAGUGGUUCUGGUGAGAUGACAUGACCCUCGUGAAGGGGCCUGAAGCUUCAUUGUGUUUGUUCUCCCUCUGUUGCCGAGGCUGGACUGUACUGCCGUGAUCUCGGCUUGCUGCAACCUCCCUGCCUCGGGCUCCCAUGAUUCUCCUGCCUCAGCCUGCCGAGUGCCUGGGAUUGCAGGCAUGCGCCACCACGCCUGACUGGUUUUUGUAUUUUUGGUGGAGAUGGGGUUUCGCUGUGUUGGCCGGGCUGGUCUCCAGCUCCUGACCUUGAGUGAUCUGCCCGCCUCGGCCUCCC
rnacentral:lncRNA from 10 species